rnacentral:rRNA from 1 species
GAUGGGCCUGCACUUGAUUAUGUUGUUGGUGGGGUAAUGGCCUACCAAGACUUUGAUCAAUAGCAGAUUUGAGAGGAUGAUCAGCCACAUUGGGACUGAGACACGGCCCAAACUCCGACGGGAGGCAGCAGUGGGGAAUAUUGCACAAUGGAGGAAACUCUGAUGCAGCGAUGCCGCGUGAGUGAAGAAGGCCUUUGGGUUGUAAAGCUCUUUCGUCGGGGAAGAAAAUGACGGUACCCGAAUAAGAAGGUCCGGCUAACUUCGUGCCAGCAGCCGCGGUAAUACGAAGGGACCUAGCGUAGUUCGGAAUUACUGGGCUUAAAGAGUUCGUAGGUGGUUGAAAAAGUUGGUGGUGAAAUCCCAGAGCUUAACUCUGGAACUGCCAUCAAAACUUUUUAGCUAGAGUAUGAUAGAGGAAAGCAGAAUUUCUAGUGUAGAGGUGAAAUUCGUAGAUAUUAGAAAGAAUACCAAUUGCGAAGGCAGCUUUCUGGAUCAUUACUGACACUGAGGAACGAAAGCAUGGGUAGCGAAGAGGAUUAGAUACCCUCGUAGUCCAUGCCGUAAACGAUGUGUGUUAGACGUUGGAAAUUUUUUUUCAGUGUCGCAGCGAAAGCAGUAAACACACCGCCUGGGGAGUACGACCGCAAGGUUAAAACUCAAAUGAAUUGACGGGGACCCGCACAAGCGGUGGAGCAUGUGGUUUAAUUCGAAGAUACGCGCAGAACCUUACCAACACUUGACAUGUUCGUCGCGACUUUAAGAGAUUAAAGUUUUCGGUUCGGCCGGACGAAACACAGGUGCUGCAUGGCUGUCGUCAGCUCGUGUCGUGAGAUGUUGGGUUAAGUCCCGCAACGAGCGCAACCCUCACUUUUAGUUGCCAUCAUUUAGUUGGGCACUCUGAAAGAACUGCCAGUGAUAAGCUGGAGGAAGGUGGGGAUGACGUCAAGUCCUCAUGGCCCUUACGUGUUGGGCUACACACGUGCUACAAUGGUAUCUACAACAGGAACCGAAACAGCGAUGAUCAGCAAAUCCUUAAAAGAUACCACAGGUCGGCAUUCACCACGCAACUAGGACGCAUGACAGAGGACGUACUGGU